UCCGGUUUGGCACCGGCAGUCUCCCUAGAGUUCCCGGCAUGACCCGCUGGCAACUAAGGACAGGGGUUGCGCUCGUUGCGCCACUUAAGGCAACACCUCACGGCACGAGCUGACGACAGCCAUGCACCACCUGUGCAGGCUCCGAAGAGCGCCCGCUUUCACGGGUUUCACCCUGCAUGUCAAGCCCAGGUAAGGUGGGGAUGACGUCACUUACAGCGUAC
rnacentral:misc_RNA from 1 species